UGUAAGUAAGACGAGUUUUAUAUUCUCCACAAACAAGCAAUUCCAAGGGAGAUAGUCCAGGUUGCUAUCCUGGGCCCCAGAAUGCUGUCUUAAGGACCCAGGCUUUUUCUAGCUUCCUAUUGUGCCACACUUACAAGUGGUUUUUGUCACUAGAGUUGCAAGAUGGCUGCAGCACGUCCAGGCAUUGCUUCUAUGUUCCAAUGGGAGAAGAAGGAAGGACAAAGGGCUUCUCCUAUUUUUAUUCAGCCCUGCUCUGCAUCCCAGGGUGCUCUAAACUUCAGCAUCUAUGGGAACAAUGUAUUCAGAGUCCAUCCAUGAUUAAAUUGAUGAUCGACUUUUCAGGUAAGAGAGUUGGUUUGACAAAUUUCAUUCUUAUGGGGAUUAAGGAAUUGAAAAGACAAAAUUUGCUUUUACUAUUUUUCUGACUUAGAACCUUUAGAAGUCAUGAAUGGCUUUUAUAAUCUGAUAUUUAGAAUGUUUUAAAGUGGGACGCCUGGGUGACUCAGCAGUUGAGCAUCCCCUUCAGCUCAGGGCGUGAUCCCAGGGUCCUAGGAUGGAGUUCCGCAUUGGGCUCCCUGCAUGGAGCCUGCUUCUCCCUCUGCCUGUGUCUCUGCCUCUCUCUCUGUGUCUCUUAUAAAUAAAUAAAUAAAUAAAAAUAAAUUUAAAAAGAAUGUUUUAAAGUAGGUGAAGAAUUAAAAUGGAGGGUUAAGAAAAGGAGAUUGAGUUUGCAGUUCAGUGUUUCAUGGUUUCUAAAACUCUUUUUUCCAAACCGGCAGUGAAUUCAGUGGUACAUUUUGUGUAGUAAACAAGGGAUUAUUUAUGUCUCUGUCCUAAAUUGAAGUUGAAAAUAUAAAGUAUCCUGUUACCUGGAGCUGUUUUUCCUUGUGAUGUUCUUACUGCUCAGGAACUAAAUGUGAACUGAGGGGUGAGCAGUGCAAUCCAAUGGGUUUGGCACAGUGAUGGUGCUGGAGCCUGCUCCACCGAGCGAUUUGUGCGUAUCUCUUUCCUGUUCCACCUUUUAGUGAUGUCUCGCUGAUAGCUUGAAAUUGGUGUGGUAGGACUGUUUACACCAUGGAAUUUGGCAAACAUUAUAAAUCAGGGUUUUUGUUUUUUGUUUCUCCAGAGAGCUAACAUUAGUAAACGUUUACCAGCACACCACUGGUCUCUAGCAUAAGUCACUAAUUAAUGCUUUAUUAAGCCAACUUAAAAAAAACUGAAGUAUAAUGACCAGUAACAUUAUAUGAGUUUCAAGUGUACAACGUAAUGAAUCGUUAUUUGUAUAUAUUGCAAAAUAAUCAACCCAGUAAGUCUAGUUAACAUCUGUCACGGUACAUAGUUACAAAUCUUUUUCUUGUGAUGAGAAUUCUUUAAGCUUUACUCUUUUAGCAAGCUUCAAAUAUGCAAAACGGUAUUAUUAGUUAUAGUCACCAUGCUGUACAUUACAUCCCUAUCCUUAUUUAUUUUAUAGCUGGAAGUUUCUCCCUUUUGACCCCCUUUCCAUUUUGCCCACCCCAACUUCCCUAUCUCUGGCGACCAUCAUCUUCUCAGAUUCUAUGAGCUCAGAUUUUUUUUUUAUUCUACAUAUAAGUAAGAUCAUACAAUAUUUCUCUUUCUCCAGCUUAACUUCACUUAGCAGAGCACCCUCAAGGCCCAUCUAUGUUGUAACAUAUGGCAAGAUUUCCUUCUUUUCAUGGCUGUAUAAUAUUCGUGUGUCUGUGUGUGUGUGUGUGUGUGUGUGUGUGUGUGUACCAUAAUGUCUUUAUCAAUUCAGGCAUUGAUGGAUGCUUAAGUUGGUUCCAUAGAUUGGCUAUUGUAAAUAGUGCUGCAGUGAACCUGGGGAU
rnacentral:lncRNA from 1 species